CUUCAGACAACACCCAGGAACAUAAACCUUGUGCAAUUUUCUCUCUUGUCUCUUGUCAAUUCCCUCCAUUCAUUCAGUGAAAAUGUGGCUCAACCUUGUGUCCUUACUAGUAGUCCUCAAAGGAGUCCAGUUUCAAGUCCAGUUGGUGGAGUCUGGAGGGGAUGUGAGAAGACCUGGAGGGUCCCUCCAUCUCUCCUGCCAAGCCUCUGGAUUUGAUUUCAGCAGAUAUGGCAUGGGCUGGGUUAGACAUUCUCCAGGGAAAGGCCUGGAAUGGGUGGCAUUCAUAAGCAAUGCUGCUGCUACUAUUCGCUACUCAGACAAAGUGAAGGGUCACUUCACCAUCUCCAGGGACAAUGCCAAAAGCUAG